rnacentral:rRNA from 1 species
UAUAAGACUGGGAUAACUUCGGGAAACCGGAGCUAAUGCCGGAUAACAUUUGGAACCGCAUGGUUCUAAGGUAAAAGAUGGUUUUGCUAUCACUUAUAGAUGGACCCGCGCCGUAUUAGCUAGUUGGUAAGGUAACGGCUUACCAAGGCAACGAUACGUAGCCGACCUGAGAGGGUGAUCGGCCACACUGGAGCUGAGACACGGUCCAGACUCCUACGGGAGGCAGCAGUAGGGAAUCUUCCGCAAUGGACGAAAGUCUGACGGAGCAACGCCGCGUGAGUGAUGAAGGUUUUCGGAUCGUAAAACUCUGUUAUUAGGGAAGAACAAAUGUGUAAGUAACUGUGCACAUCUUGACGGUACCUAAUCAGAAAGCCACGGCUAACUACGUGCCAGCAGCCGCGGUAAUACGUAGGUGGCAAGCGUUGUCCGGAAUUAUUGGGCGUAAAGCGCGCGUAGGCGGUUUCUUAAGUCUGAUGUGAAAGCCCACGGCUCAACCGUGGAGGGUCAUUGGAAACUGGGAAACUUGAGUACAGAAGAGGAAAGUGGAAUUCCAUGCGUAGCGGUGAAAUGCGCAGAGAUAUGGAGGAACACCAGUGGCGAAGGCGACUUUCUGGUCUGUAACUGACGCUGAUGUGCGAAAGCGUGGGGAUCAAACAGGAUUAGAUACCCUGGUAGUCCACGCCGUAAACGAUGAGUGCUAAGUGUUAGGGGGUUUCCGCCC